ACGGAAGGCAGCAGUGGGGGAUAUUGCACAAUGGGGGAAACCCUGAUGCAGCGACGCCGCGUGAGUGAUGAAGUAUUUCGGUAUGUAAAGCUCUUUAAGCAGGGAAGAUAAUGACGGUACCUGCAGAAUAAGCACCGGCUAAAUACGUGCCAGCAGCCGCGGUAAUACGUAUGGUGCAAGCGUUAUCCGGAUUUACUGGGUGUAAAGGGAGUGUAGGUGGUUUGGCAAGCCAGAAGUGAAAACCCGGGGCUCAACCCCGUGGAUUGCUUUUGGAACUGUUGGACUAGAGUGCAGGAGGGGUAAGCGGAAUUCCCAGUGUAGCGGUGAAAUGCGUAGAUAUUGGGAAGAACACCGGUGGCGAAGGCGGCUUACUGGACUGUAACUGACACUGAGGCUCGAAAGCGUGGGGAGCAAACAGGAUUAGAUACCCUGGUA
rnacentral:rRNA from 1 species